CGAACGCUGGCGGCGUGCUUAACACAUGCAAGUCGAGCGAUGAAGCACCUUCGGGUGUGAAUUAGCGGCGAACGGGUGAGGAACACGUGAGAAAUCUGCCUUCAGCACUGGGAUAACUCCGGGAAACCGGGGCUAAUACCGGAUAUGAAACCUGCGGGCAUCCGCGGGUUUGGAAAGUUUUUCGGUUGAAGAUGAUCUCGCGGCCUAUCAGCUUGUUGGUGGGGUAAUGGCUCACCAAGGCGACGACGGGUAGCCGGCCUGAGAGGGCGACCGGCCACACUGGGACUGAGACACGGCCCAGACUCCUACGGGAGGCAGCAGUGGGGAACUAUUGGACAAUGGGCGCAAGCCUGAUCCAGCCGAUGCCGCGUGCAGGAUGACGGUCCUAUGGAUUGUAAACUGCUUUUGCACAGGAAGAACAUCCCGACGUGUCGGGACUUGACGGUGCUGUGAGAAUAAGGAUCGGCUAACUCCGUGCCAGCA
rnacentral:rRNA from 1 species